UGCAAGUCGAACGGCACCCCUCCUCCGGAGGGAAGGCGAGUGGCGAACGGCUGAGUAACACGUGGAGAACCUCGCCCCCUCCCCCGGGAUAGCCGCCCGAAAGGACGGGUAAUACCGGAUACCCCCGGGCGCCGCAUGGCGCCCGGGCUAAAGCCCCGACGGGAGGGGAUGGCUCCGCGGCCCAUCAGGUAGACGGCGGGGUGACGGCCCACCGUGCCGACAACGGGUAGCCGGGUUGAGAGACCGACCGGCCAGAUUGGGACUGAGACACGGCCCAGACUCCUAGGGAGGCAGCAUG
rnacentral:rRNA from 1 species